GCCUGGCUGGCUCAGUUGGUAGAGCAUGUGACUCUUGAUCCUAGGGUUGUGAGUUUGAGCCCCAUGCUCGGUG
rnacentral:tRNA from 1 species